rnacentral:rRNA from 1 species
GACAGAGGUUGCAAGCGUUGUUCGGAAUUACUGGGCAUAAAGCGCACGUAGGCGGUCCGCUAAGUCAGGUGUGAAAUCCCCGGGCUUAACCUGGGAACUGCGCUUGUAACUAGCGGGCUAGAGUGCGGCAGAGGGGGGUGGAAUUCCACGUGUAGCAGUGAAAUGCGUAGAUAUGUGGAGGAACACCGAUGGCGAAGGCGGCGUCCUGGACCAACACUGACACUGAUGAGCGAAAGCCAGGGGAGCAAACGGG